GAUCUCGUAAUUGCAUCAUCAGUGGGAAAGUAAGCUCUCUGAGGACCAGGUCUGACUGAGACAUCCCCACAGCGUAGUAGAUUAAUACAUUUUGUGUCUCAGCGUUGCCUGUGAAACGCCAUUUACUCACCAGGCAUGCUGAACGUGGAACCAGGUUUCUUUCUUUCCAAGUAGUUUUGCUAGUUUAGAGAAAGAGAGAGACAGACACAUAAAUACAUACAGAGAAAGAGAAAGUACUGAACCAGGAACAGCAGGGUUUGAGUCAAAAGAGAGGGGCAGAGGAGCGCGUCCCGUGCCCCAAGGCUGCCACACGGAGCGCCGGCGCGAGGUGCCGGUUCCGGGGCCGAGCGCACGCCCGGAAGGUGGGAGGUGGCCAGCAGCGCCCCCGCCUGGCCCCUGUGCGCCCCGACCCGACGCCUCCCCGCCCGACCAGGUGCCUCGAGAGCGCACCGCUGGGAGGGCUCUCCCGGGCUCGGCGACACUCACGCCCGCGGUGUGCUAGGGCGGCGGCGACGGUGACGGGCGUGGGGCGCGGCGCUGCCUCGGCUGCCGGAUCGUUGCAGCGAGCGCUCGGGCCGGCCUGGAGUCUCCGGGCUGAGCCGCCGCGCCUGCAUCGUGCGGCACGCCGCGGAGGCGCUCCGGGACAGACCGCGCGGGCGCGCACAAAGCGGCCCGGAGCGACCCGCGCUGCGCGGACCCUCUGUGGGCAGCGCACCCCAGUCUCCCCCGGCUAGCGGCUGCAGGGAGCUCCGGCCCGCGGCCCCUCCGCCUCAAGUCUGGGAGCUGCCGGCCCCACUCUGUCUUUGCCUAUGGGGAUCCGAGAGUUUCCCAGCGGCGCACCCAGGGGAAAGAGCAUCGCUGUUGGCAUGAGGAGGUCACCGGACGUCAGCCCCCGGAGACUGUCCGACAUCAGCCCCCAGCUCCGGCAGCUCAAGUACUUGGUGGUGGACGAGGCGAUUAAGGAGGAUCUGAAAUGGUCGCGCUCCGUGGAAGAUCUCACCAGCGGGCCCGUGGGGCUCACGUCCAUCGAGGAGCGGAUCCUGCGCAUCACUGGCUACUAUGGCUACCAGCCCUGGGCAGCGAGCUGCAAAAGUAUGCUCUUACACCAGCAGUUGUCAAACAUGUUAAUCGCAGAAUCCCUUCACGUUCUUAAAAAUUAUUCAAGACCUUAACAUUGUUUCUGUUAUGCUGAUUAUAACUAUCAUUAUUUACAGUGUUUGAAAUAAAGGCGAAGACAUUUAAGAAACAUCCCUUAAUUAAUUUAAAAUUAUAUUAAACUCAUACAUUGGUAUAAAUAAUACAUUUUUAUGAAAAGUAAAUAUAUUUUCUAAAGUUAAAGAAGAGUAGCAUUGUUUUACACUCUGCAAAUUUCUUUAAUGUCUGGCAUACUCAAAGACAGCAGGAUUCUCAUAUCUACUUCCACAUUCAACUGUUGUGGUAUUGCAUGUUAUGCAGCCUAUGGAAAACUCUGGUACACUCAUGAGAAUAUAAGAGUAAAGGAAAAAAAUUAGUAUUAUUAUGAAAUUACUUUUGACCUCACAGAAUCUCUGAAAAGGUCUCCAGGACCCUUUGAGAAUGAUAUUUUAUGACAUCAGUAGAUAAAUGUAAUUGUAAACUAUGUAAAAUUAUUUUGCUGGUGUUCAAACUCUGUUAUGUAGUUUGUAUGAGUCUAUACAUAGCAUUAUGAAAUUUGCUUUAUUUACUCAAUAUUGGUUUUUAUAUUUAUAAACUAGCAACAUGAGCUCAAAUUACUUUCACUUUUGUAUCGUACAUAAUUAUAUCAUACUUUUCCUAGUCUUUUUUUCAUGGUGCUAUGGUUUGCAUAUACUUUGUCUCUCCCAAAACUUGAAAUUUAGUUGCCAUUGAAACAAUGUUGAGAGGUAGACCUUUACUGGGUAGGGCCUAAUGGGAAGCUUUUAUGUCAUGGGCUUCCCAUAUGUUAUGGAGGGGGACUCCACCCUCAUGAGUGACUUGGUGAACUUCUCAGAGUAGUGAGUUUUCACUCUC
rnacentral:lncRNA from 1 species